rnacentral:rRNA from 1 species
GAUGAACGCUAGCUACAGGCUUAACACAUGCAAGUCGAGGGGAAACGACAUCGAAAGCUUGCUUUUGAUGGGCGUCGACCGGCGCACGGGUGAGUAACGCGUAUCCAACCUGCCCACCACUUGGGGAUAACCUUGCGAAAGUAAGACUAAUACCCAAUGACGUCUCUAGAAGACAUCUGAAAGAGAUUAAAGAUUUAUCGGUGAUGGAUGGGGAUGCGUCUGAUUAGCUUGUUGGCGGGGUAACGGCCCACCAAGGCGACGAUCAGUAGGGGUUCUGAGAGGAAGGGCCCCCACAUUGGAACUGAGACACGGUCCAAACUCCUACGGGAGGCAGCAGUGAGGAAUAUUGGUCAAUGGGCGAGUGCCUGAACCAGCCAAGUAGCGUGCAGGAUGACGGCCCUAUGGGUUGUAAACUGCUUUUAUAAGGGAAUAAAGUGAGUCUCGUGAGACUUUUUGCAUGUACCUUAUGAAUAAGGACCGGCUAAUUCCGUGCCAGCCGCCGCGGUAA